GGAACGUCUCAGUUCGGAUUGUAGUCUGCAACUCGACUACAUGAAGCUGGAAUCGCUAGUAAUCACGAAUCAGAAUGUCGCGGUGAAUACGUUCCCGGGUCUUGUACACACCGCCCGUCACACCAUGGGAGUUGGGAAUGCCCGAAGCCGGUGACCUAACCGAAAGGGAGGAGCCGUCGAAGGCAGGCUUGAUAACUGGGGUGAAGUCGUAACAAGGUAUC
rnacentral:rRNA from 1 species